GAUGAAGAACGUAGCGAAAUGCGAUACGUAAUGUGAAUUGCAGAAUUCAGUGAAUCAUCGAGUCUUUGAACGCACAUUGCGCCCCCUGGUAUUCCGGGGGGCAUGCCUGUCCGAGCGUCAUUGCUGCCCUCAAGCACGGCUUGUGUGUUGGGCCUCCGCCCCCCGGCUCCCGGGGGGCGGGCCCGAAAGGCAGCGGCGGCACCGCGUCCGGUCCUCGAGCGUAUGGGGCUUCGUCACCCGCUCCGUAGGCCCGGCCGACGCCCGCCGGCGACCCCCCUCAAUCUUUCCAGGUUGACCUCGGAUCAGGUAGGGAUACCCGCUGAACUUAAGCAUAUCAAUAAGCGGAGGA
rnacentral:misc_RNA from 1 species